rnacentral:rRNA from 1 species
AUACGUAGGGUGCAAGCGUUGUCCGGAAUUAUUGGGCGUAAAGAGCUCGUAGGCGGUUUGUCGCGUCUGCUGUGAAAGCCCGAGGCUCGACCUCGGGUCUGCAGUGGGUACGGGCAGACUAGAGUGCGGUAGGGGAGAUUGGAAUUCCUGGUGUAGCGGUGGAAUGCGCAGAUAUCAGGAGGAACACCGAUGGCGAAGGCAGAUCUCUGGGCCGUAACUGACGCUGAGGAGCGAAAGCGUGGGGAGCGAACAGGAUUAGAUACCCUGGUAGUCCACGCUGUAAACGUUGGGCGCUAGAUGUAGGGACCUUUCCACGGUUUCUGUGUCGUAGCUAACGCAUUAAGCGCCCCGCCUGGGGAGUACGGCCGCAAGGCUAAAACUCAAAGGAAUUGACGGGG